rnacentral:rRNA from 1 species
GACGAACGCUGGCGGCGUGCUUAACACAUGCAAGUCGAACGGAAAGGCCCUGCUUGCAGGGUACUCGAGUGGCGAACGGGUGAGUAACACGUGGGUGAUCUGCCCUGCACUUUGGGAUAAGCCUGGGAAACUGGGUCUAAUACCGGAUAGGAGCCAUUUUUAGUGUGAUGGUUGGAAAGUUUUUUCGGGGUAGGAUGAGCUCGCGGCCUUUCAGCUUGUUGGUGGGGUAAUGGCCUACCAAGGCGGCGACGGGUAGCCGGCCUGAGAGGGUGGACGGCCACAUUGGGACUGAGCUACGGCCCAGACUCCUACGGGAGGCAGCAGUGGGGAAUAUUGCACAAUGGGCGGAAGCCUGAUGCAGCGACGCCGCGUGGGGGAUGACGGCCUUCGGGUUGUAAACUCCUUUCGCUAGGGACGAAGCUUUUGUGACGGUACCUAGAUAAGAAGCACCGGCUAACUACGUG